rnacentral:rRNA from 1 species
AUUGAACGCUGGCGGCAGGCCUAACACAUGCAAGUCGAACGAGUGGCGGACGGGGGAGUAAGGUCUGGGAAACCGCCCGAUGGAGGGGGAUAAAUACUGGAAACGGUAGCUAAUACCGCAUACCAUCGGAUGUGCCCAGAUUGGAUUAGCUCGUAGGUGAGGUAACGGCUCACCUAGGCGACGAUCCCUAGCUGGUCUGAGAGGAUGACCAGCCACACUGGAACUGAGACACGGUCCAGACUCCUACGUGAGGCAGCAGUGGGGAAUAUUGCCCAAUGGGCGCAAGUCUGAUGCAGCCAUGCCGCGUGUAUGAAGACGGCCUUCGGGUUGUAAAGUACUUUCAGCGGGGAGGCGGUACCCGCAGAAGAAGCACCGGCUAACUCCGUGCCAGCAGCCGCGGUAAUAC